rnacentral:lncRNA from 1 species
UUGACCGUAUGGCUUCAACAUCAACUUCGACUCCAUUUGCCACCUUAAGUCUUCUUGCCCCCUUUGCCAUGGUUUGGAUUAUAUUUGAGUCCUGCAUGGAAUUGGCAACGUGAGAAGUUGCACCUGAAUCAAUCCACCAAUAGGUACUAGAGUAAUCAACAUAUAACAUUUCAUCAACGAAAGUAAUUUCAUCAGUACCUUUCUUCAUCAACCAUUUGAGAAAUUCUGGACAGUCUUUCUGAUAAUGACCCUCAUGCUUGCAGAAGUUGCACUUGGUGUCUUUAGGCUUAUCGUCCACCUUCUCCUUUGCUUUAUAUGAGUUUGUUGAAUGUUUCUUAAAGAACUUCUUUUGUGGCUGUUGCUUAUAAGGGCUUG